rnacentral:hammerhead_ribozyme from 1 species
AUCCGGCUGACGAGUCCCGAAUAGGAUGAAACGCCCGUACUGGAU